rnacentral:lncRNA from 1 species
CUUGAAUUAUAGGGCAACAAAAAUGUUUUCUCUCAACAAUUUCAUGCCGGAAACGGCGUCGUCUAUGUUCUCAGCCUAUGCCUCCUUUGCAACCUUCAUGAUGAUCUUCCGUUCCAUGGCCAACGACUUCAUCCCGGACCCUCUCCGCACCUAUAUUUCCUCCUCCCUCAGUUACCUUUUUAGCCCUCUCUCCGGCCUCUUCUCUUUUUACCUCACUCUCGCCUUCUACGAGUACUCCGACAUGUCCCGCAACCAAGUCUACGAUGCCGCCGCGGUCUACCUCGAGAAAAAGAUCGGCCCCGCCACGCAGCGUCUCCGCAUCAGCAAAACGCCCCGGAAGAAGUCCAUGGGCGUCGCCAUCGACAGAGACGAGGAAGUCAUCGACACGUUCGACAACAUCAAGCUCAAGUGGCUGCUAGUCACCGAAACAAAGACCGGGAACAACAACAGGCUGCGCUACUUUGAGCUGUCGUUCCGCAAGAAACACAAGGAAAGAGUGAUGGGCAGCUACUUGCCCCACGUGCUUGCCCAGGCAACCGCCAUGAAGCAAGAAGAAAAGGUUCUCAAGAUUUAUAAACGUCAUAUCUUGUCAUGGGAGGACGUCGUUGAGGAUGGCAACACUGAAUGGGGAUCCAUAAACAUGGAGCACCGGGCUACGUUUGAGACAAUGGCGCUGGAGCCAGAUCUCAAGAAAACCAUUGUAGAGGAUUUGGAGAGGUUUGUGAGUAGGAGGGAGUUUUACAAGAAGGUGGGCAAGGCUUGGAAAAGAGGCUACUUGUUGUAUGGCCCGGCCGGCACCGAAAAAUCCAGCCUGAUUGCGGCCAUGGCUAAUUUUCUCAAGUUUGAUGUGUUUGAUUUGGAGCUUGCUAGCAUUCGCAGCGACUCUCAUUUGAAGAGGGUUUUGUU